rnacentral:rRNA from 1 species
AGUGAACGCUGGCGGUAGGCCUAACACAUGCAAGUCGAACGGCAGCACAGUAAGAGCUUGCUCUUACGGGUGGCGAGUGGCGGACGGGUGAGGAAUACAUCGGAAUCUACUUUUUCGUGGGGGAUAACGUAGGGAAACUUACGCUAAUACCGCAUACGACCUACGGGUGAAAGCAGGGGAUCUUCGGACCUUGCGCGAUUGAAUGAGCCGAUGUCGGAUUAGCUAGUUGGCGGGGUAAAGGCCCACCAAGGCGACGAUCCGUAGCUGGUCUGAGAGGAUGAACCGCCAAAACGGAAACGAAGCAACGUCCAGACUCCUACGGGAAGCCGCAGUUGGGAAUAUUUGACAAUGGGCGGAAGGCUUGUCCAGGCAUAACCGGUGGGUUAAGGAGGCCUUUCGGUUGUUAAGCCCUUUUGUUGGGAAAGAAAAGCAGCAGGUUAAUACCCCGCUGUUCUGACGGUACCCAAAGAAUAAGCACCGGCUAACUUCGUG